GACGAACGCUGGCGGCGUGCUUAACACAUGCAAGUCGAACGGAAAGGCCUGCUUUCCCUUGUGGAUUGCGGGUACUCGAGUGGCAAACGGGUGAGUAACACGUGAGUGAUCUGCCCCCAACUUGGGUAUAAGCCUGGGAAACUGGGUCUAAUUCCCGAUAGGACUGCAGGGUGGUGCCUGUGGUGGAAAACGAUUUUCUAGUGGUUGGGGAUGAGCUCGCGGCCUAUCAGCUUGUUGGUGGGGUAAUGGCCUACCAAGGCGGCGACGGGUAGCCGGCCUGAGAGGGUGGACGGCCACAGUGGGACUGAGAUACGGCCCAGACUCCUACGGGAGGCAGCAGUGGGGAAUAUUGCACAAUGGGCGGAAGCCUGAUGCAGCGACGCCGCGUGGGGGAUGACGGCCUUCGGGUUGUAAACUCCUUUCGACCGCGAGGAAGCCACCUGGUUGGAAGGGUGGUGACGGUAGUGGUAGAAGAAGCACCGGCUAACUACGUG
rnacentral:rRNA from 1 species